UAAUACGGAGGUGGCAAGCGUUGUUCGGAUUUAUUGGGUGUAAAGGGCAUGUAGGUGUUCUAGUAAGUUCUGAUUGAAAUCCUUCGGCUUAACCGAAGAACGUGUCAGAAUACUGCUAGGAUUGAGUACGGAAGAGGAGAGCGGAAUUCCCGGUGUAAGGGUGAAAUCUGUAGAUAUCGGGAGGAACACCAGUGGCUAAAGCGGUUCUCUGGUCCGUCACUGACACUGAAAUGCGAAAGCUAGGGGAGCAAACAGGAUUAGAUACCCUGGUAGUCCUAGCCGUAAACGAUGGGCACUAGGUGUAGGUCCGCAAGGGUCUGUGCCGCAGUUAACACAUUAAGUGCCCCACCUGGGGACUACGGCCGCAAGGUUG
rnacentral:rRNA from 1 species